rnacentral:rRNA from 1 species
AGUCAUAUGCUUGUCUCAAAGAUUAAGCCAUGCAUGUGUAAGUAUAAACAUCUUUAUACUGUGAAACUGCGUACAGCUCAUUAUAUCAGUUAUUAUUUAUUUGAUGGUACCUUACUACAUGGAUAACCGUAGUAAUUCUAGAGCUAAUACAUGCGUAAAGUCCCGACCUUGCGGAAUGGGAUGUAUUUAUUAGAUAAAAAACUAAUGCCCCUUUUUAGGGUGCCUCAUUGGUGACUCAUAGUAACUUUUCGAAUCGCAUGGCUUGUCCGGCGAUAGUUCAUUCAAAUUUCUGCCCUAUCAGCUUCCGACGGUAGUGUAGUGGACUACCGUGGCGUUAACG